rnacentral:rRNA from 1 species
AGUCACUGACAUUAGAUACCCCUGUAGUCCCAGCCGUAAACAAUGUGCGUUAGGUGUGUCGGUGACCACGAGUUACCGAGGUGCCGAAGGGAAACCGUGAAACGUGCCGCCUGGGAGUACGGUCGCAAGGCUGAACUUAAAGGAAUUGCGGGGAGCACCACGAACAGGUGGAGCCUGCGGUUUAAUUGGACUCAACGCCGGGAAGCUCACCGGAUAGGACAGCAGAAUGAUUGCCGGGCUGAAGACCCUGCAUGACUAGCUG